rnacentral:sRNA from 17 species
AAAACCACCCCAGCGACGUUCAUAGAAUGGCGCAAUAUGUUCGAUAUUAAAAUGACCUGGCUUAUUAGUCCGAAUUCAGACAAAUAUAAACAAAUCCUGCUCAAUAUUAAAAUAUACUAACCGGUAAAAGAUAUUACUUAAAAAUGUAAAUUCACUUUUCUUUAAAAAACAAAAAACCGCCAAAAUCAGGCGGUUAUUUGUUGCCGGUUUGGU